CGGCGGAUGGGUGAGUAACACGUGGGCAACCUGCCUGUAAGGCUGGGAUAACUCGCGGAAACGUGAGCUAAUACCGGAUGAAGUCUUUUAUCGCCUGAUAAAGGAAUGAAAGGUGGCAUAUGCUACCACUUACAGAUGGGCCCGUGGCGCAUUAGCUAGUUGGUGGGAUAAAAGCCUACCAAGGCGACGAUGCGUAGCCGACCUGAGAGGGUGAUCGGCCACACUGGGACUGAGACACGGCCCAGACUCCUACGGGAGGCAGCAGUAGGGAAUCUUCCGCAAUGGACGCAAGUCUGACGGAGCGACGCCGCGUGAGUGAUGAAGGUCUUCGGAUCGUAAAACUCUGUUGUCAGGGAAGAACAAGUGCCGUUCGAAUAGGGCGGUACCUUGACGGUACCUAACCAGAAAGCCCCGGCUAACUACGUGCCAGCAGCCGCGGUAAUACGUAGGGGGCAAGCGUUAUCCGGAAUUAUUGGGCGUAAA
rnacentral:rRNA from 1 species